UACGUAGGGGGCAAGCGUUGUCCGGAUUCAUUGGGCGUAAAGAGCGUGUAGGCGGCCAGGUAGGUCGGUUGUGAAAACUGGAGGCUCAACCUUCAGAGGUCGACCGAAAACCAUCUGGCUAGAGUCCGGGAGAGGAGAGUGGAAUUCCGUGGAUGUAGCGGUGAAAUGACGCAGAUAUCGAGGAAGAACACCCGUGGCGAAAGCGGCUCUCUGGAACGGUACUGACGCGAAGACGCGGAAAGCGUGGGGAGCGAACAGG
rnacentral:rRNA from 1 species